rnacentral:rRNA from 1 species
ACCCGCUGGAACUUAAGCAUAUCAAUAAGCGGAGGAAAAGAAACCAACAGGGAUUGCCCUAGUAACGGCGAGUGAAGCGGCAAUAGCUCAAAUUUGAAAUCUGGCCUUCGGGUCCGAGUUGUAAUUUGUAGAGGAUGCUUUUGGCGCGGUGCCUUCCGAGUUCCCUGGAACGGGACGCCUUAGAGGGUGAGAGCCCCGUACGGUUGGACACCAAGCCUCUGUAAAGCUCCUUCGACGAGUCGAGUAGUUUGGGAAUGCUGCUCUAAAUGGGAGGUAAAUUUCUUCUAAAGCUAAAUAUUGGCCAGAGACCGAUAGCGCACAAGUAGAGUGAUCGAAAGAUGAAAAGCACUUUGAAAAGAGGGUUAAAUAGUACGUGAAAUUGUUGAAAGGGAAGCGUUUGCGACCAGACCUUUUCCUGGCGGAUCAUCCGGUGUUCUCACCGGUGCACUUCGCCAGGUUUAGGCCAGCAUCGGUUUUCGCAGGGGGAUAAAAGCUCUGGGAACGUAGCUCCUCCGGGAGUGUUAUAGCCCUCUGCAUAAUACCCUUGCGGGGACCGAGGACCGCGCUUCGGCAAGGAUGCUGGCGUAAUGGUCGUCAACGACCCGUCUUGAAACACGGACCAAGGAGUCGAACAUUUGUGCGAGUGUUUGGGUGUUAAACCCUCACGCGUAAUGAAAGUGAACGGAGGUGAGAGCCUUUACGGGUGCAUCAUCGACCGAUCCUGAUGUCUUCGGAUGGAUUUGAGUAAGAGCAUAACUGUUCGGACCCGAAAGAUGGUGAACUAUGCGUGGAUAGGGUGAAGCCAGAGGAAACUCUGGUGGAGGCUCGCAGCGGUUCUGACGUGCAAAUCGAUCGUCAAAUCUGCGCAUGGGGGCGAAAGACUUAUCGAACCAUCUAGUAGCUGGUUACCGCCGAAGUUUCCCUCAGGAUAGCAGUGUUGUUCUUCAGUUUUAUGAGGUAAAGCGAAUGAUUAGGGACUCGGGGGCGCUUUUUAGCCUUCAUCCAUUCUCAAACUUUAAAUAUGUAAGAAGCCCUUGUUACUUAGUUGAACGUGGGCAUUCGAAUGUACCAACACUAGUGGGCCAUUUUUGGUAAGCAGAACUGGCGA